AGAGGUCAAAAGUCCGUCUGACUCACCUGUGCUGAGUGACUUGAAUGCCAUCUAAUCUAACUUCAAGAUCAUCAGGAUACUUGCCAACAAGGUCACAGUGGACUCCAUGGAGCAACUGCCCUCAGGAGGCAACAGAUGGCUUCACUUGCUUAUUGGCUGAAGGUCUGCAAGGACUCAAUUCACAUAUCUGAUCAUACCUGGAGUCCAGACUUUCUCCUGAUGCCUGGUAAGAACCCUAGGUUCAAGGAUGCAUUUACUGUGUCUCUGAAAUUUUCCUCCUAACCUCAGGAUUAGUUCUCACUCAGAGCUCCAGUCUCUACUCCAUGCAUUUCUUAUCCACACUCUUUUCCAGGCAUCCCAUUUUUUUACAGUUCCUAAACUUGCCACACUAAUCCAUGCAUCCAUGCCUCUGCCUUAAAAUGCCCCUCUUCUUUCCCACAAUUAUCUUGCUCUUGUUCUUUUUCUAGGGCUCAUAUCAUGUGUCUUCUUUCCCAUGCAACCUUUUUAGAUCCGCCCAAGCAGAAUUUACUACUCCCUUCAUUGUGUCAUCACAAACCUAUGCCAUAUUUGCACUUAACUCAUUGCAUUGCCAUUAUAAAUUUGUUUUUCCAUGGCAGAAACUGUUAAGACUCAGCAACAGUGUGUUGUGUGUUCCUCUAUAUUUCCCAGACCCCUUUGCCAUUAGGUCGGCUCCGUAUGACUGAGUUCUAGCCAGUGAGGUAUGGGCAGAAGUGAUGUGUACCAAUUGCGAGCUCGACUUUUGAAAUCAUCCCACGUGAUCCUCCUGCCAUCUACCAGCCAUCCUUUUUGAUCUUGAAGGUCUUAUGCCUCAGAUUGUGUAACUACAGGAUGAAGGAAGGCCACUCAACCCACACUUGGACAUGAUGUUCUUUUUGAGGGGAGUCUCUCUGAUGCUUGGAAUGAAUCCUGCUGAAUCAAUGCUGAUGCUUGGAGAUCUUCAAGUCUUUUCCCUUUUUCCCAUUGCUCAUGAUGUCUAUAUAACCUCCAAACAUGCAUCCCACUCCUCUGCCGAAAGACCAUUUUUUUAUAUCUUCAGUGAUGGUCUAGGCCAGGUUAAUUGACUUUUCUUUUUUCUUAAGCCAACUAAAGUCCUCACCACAAAUUAAUGUUAUGUUUUGACUGACUCAUUGGGCCUGAACAAUAAUGUUAUUUCUCGCAGUGCACUAAAAAGGGAGUAGAAAGGGAAAGGUGGAUGUAUUUCUUAAUUUUCUGUAAUCUAAGUACUGAAAUCUCACUUUUACAACAAAGGCAGCUUUGAUAUAAUUUUUGGAAACAAGCUUUCUGCUGAGCUGGUUGUGAAAUCUCAUUGGUUGGAGAGAAUUCAAGUGCAUGUCAGUGAGCACAGGUGCUGGAAGUUGUAGGUAAGGAGUCAGGAGUGCAGUCUACAGGUGCAGAAAAAAGAUUUUCAUGGAGACCCCCAGCUCUAAAUGUAGUUGCUCAAAAGGUGGACUUUGCCAUUCACUUAUGUGAAGCCCUUUGAAAAUCUGACAUUUCUGUGGGCCUGUUAGUGGCGAGCCAGAGGGGCUUGCCAGCUUAGAGGUUAAUUGUGCUAAUUAACAGAAAGGACAGAGGCUUCAGAAAGUGCCUCUGUGGACUGGAAAAUUUUCCCAAUAUUUCAUUAGGGUGACUUUGAAAAGGUUGCAGGCAAAUGGCACCUUUCACUUUAAAAAUCUAAACCAUGGCUUUUUAACCAUUUUUAAAGUUUGAGUUUGAAAAGUCCACUUUUAGUGUUAUUUAGAAACUCGUCCUAUGGGAAGUCUGGAGGAAAGGAAAGACUACAUUUUUAAGUGCAUCAUUCUCGCCUUUCAUUCCUUUAUGCUUAGCUUUUUAUUUCUUGGCACUUAUUUUAAAAGCCUUAUUCUCUCCUCCUCCCAGUGCAAACCCACGCCAUAUCCCUGAAUCUGUUGUGGAAGAACAGACUGGAAGACAUCUGCCUCUUGCCUUAUUUUUUUUAAUUCCUCUAAAUGAUAGAGCCAAGUCUCCACACCAGAGCUCCCUCUCCCUGAACAAACCAAAUGGUGGCUGUUGGCAGUGCAUUGACAGCUUGUUAAUGGAGGAAUCCUUGACAGUGUGACAACCUGCCUGGGCUGCCGCGGGAAGCCAAAUCCGCCCCCACACAAACCCGAGUAAUUAACAGGUGGGGAAAAAUAGCAAGUAACUGCUGCUGAGGAGAGGAAAAAUAGUCAACCUAGUGAAUUAUGUAUAUUAAAGUAUAAUAUCUCUUUUGCAAUCCCUUUCCUAGUUCUUACUAGCAAGCUCUACUGGAAAGUGGUUUGACUUUGGAGUCAGGUGAGCCUGGAUUUGAAUCAAAGUUUGGCCACCUACUGGCUGUGUGUGACUUUGGGAAAAUUCCCUUCACUGAACCUCCAUUUGUGAUCAGUACUGUGGUCAGAUACUAUUUGUGAAGGCACAAUUAUAGAUGCCACUUAUCGGUGUUCAAUUGUCAAAACCUCUUUUUAUGAUGAUGGAUUUGCCAAAUUGUUCUUGUAGUUCUGUCAAGUUUUGUUUUUUUUUAAUAUCGUGAGGUAAUUUUUUGGUUCAUUAAGUUUGAAAUUGUUAUUUCUACUUGGCGAAUUGGGCCUUUUAUCAUUAGACAGUGACUUCCUUUUUCUCUAGUCAUACUUUUCGUCUUGAAAUUAUUUUUUGUGAUGUUAUUUUAUGUGCUGAUAUAUAUACACACACACACACACACAUGCACACACAAACACAUAUAUAUAUAUUCCAUUUAUUUGAUAGUAUUUCUGUGCUUUUAGGUUUCAUGAGGUUAGGGGUAUAGGAUGAAGGGUAUAGAGAAGGGGAGGGCUCUGGUUACCUAUUGCUUGGUUAAGGCGUCCACACUUGUUGGGCUGACUGUCUAGACAUCCUCUCUCCCAGCUCCCUCAAACCCAAAAUAUAUUUGCAUGAAUUCCAAUAAAGAAAUCUUCUCAGAGAAGCAUGUGCUGGUACCACCCACACCAGCUGGAACAUUUUUCUCUCAGCUCUGACCUACACUAGAAAAUACGUGGAAGGAAUUUUUCAAAACUUAGAUCUGUAGCUCUUGAUAUAAUACCAGGGGCUAAAAUGAAUUUAGGAGACAUUCAAGGCUGUUUAAAAUAGUUAUUUUCAAGCUUUCUUCAGUCUUAGAUCUCUUUGUGAAUGUGAUGAAAGCUCUGGACUCUUGCCUCAGGAAAAAUGCAAAAACACAAGAUUUUCAAACUUUAGCUGAUCCUAUUUUUAUGUCCUAAAGUUCCGGAGGCUCCAGGUAAAAGGGCCGCUAUUUAAAUACUCAUGUUGCAAACAUUAAGGGAUAAAAGGCAGGAUGGAAAAUUUAAACACAUGCAAAUAUAUUGGUCAGAAUGGUGGACUGUGCAGUCCUGGCAGAAAAUUUGCUGCCUAUUCUUUUCUAGGGUGGGCUCAGAUUUAUCAGUGAGGCCAUGCCCUGAGCAGAAUUGCCCUGUGGCAAAGGAAACCUGAGCUGAGGACUAAAUGAGAAAGUCCAGAACCGGUGAAUGCACAUGACCCCAGCUGAAAGUCUCUAGGAAACAUCCCCCCAAGGAGGGCUUCAUAACCCAGGGCUCACUGAAGAAAAUUCCAAUUGAAGAUAAGCUGAGGAGAAAAUAUCACAAAACACUGAAAAACACCACUAUGAGAGGUAAGUCUAGCAGAUGCAACAAAUAGAGCGUUCAUGCCCAAGAAAGUAGAAGUAAUAAAAUCAGCUGAAAAAGUACUUUAAUAUAAGUAUGUUGAAAAUAUUGAAAGUUUAAAAAAGGAUAGAAUCCAUAAAAAUGGAGAUAAUGGAAGAGGACGGAAAAACUUGGGGAAAAAUAGCUAGUUUCAGAAACAAAAAAUAUUGGUAUGGGUAUGGAGGAAACUUUAAGGACACUUUAAUCAGCAGACUACACAGGAUUAAGAAGUGAAUAAGUAAAACAGAAAGAUUAUCAGAGGAAGUCAUCCAGAAUACAGCAGAGAUAGAAAAAGAGUUGAGGGCUAAGAAAGAGAAGUUGAAGAAUGGAAGAAUUUGAAAUUUCACCCUAGACACACAGUAAUGAAAUUACAACAUUCAUGUAUCAUGGGAAAGUUCUAAAAGUUAUCAGGCAGAAGAGACAGAUUAUUUUAAAAAGUCAGUAUCAGACAAAAGGCAGACUGUUGUUAUCAGUAAUAGAUACCAGGAAAUAAACAGGAAAUAAAUAAAAAUAUCUGCAGGGCACUGAGGCAAAAUUGUGUGAAUACAUAUCUUACUAAUGCAAAUGAUGCAAAAACCAAAACAAACCAAAACAAAAACUGAACACCUGCUGGAAAUGUGUUCACGUUGAAUUCAUUCUGGUUGGUUAAAUUUAAAAAGACGAUUAUUUUUAUCUCAAUAUUUCUGUAUUGUUCACAUUCCGUGUAAUAAACAUGAUUUACUUAUGUAAUAAAAUGAAUAUUAAAAAAACAAAUAAUCUGAGUUGAAAUUAUA
rnacentral:lncRNA from 10 species